CUACAGGCUUAACACAUGCAAGUCGAGGGGCAGCAUGGUCUUAGCUUGCUAAGGCCGAUGGCGACCGGCGCACGGGUGAGUAACGCGUAUCCAACCUGCCUUACACUCUUGGACAGCCUUCUGAAAGGGAGAUUAAUACAAGAUGUUAUCAUGAGUAAGCAUUUUCGCAUGAUUAAAGGUUUACCGGUGUAAGAUGGGGAUGCGUUCCAUUAGAUAGUAGGCGGGGUAACGGCCCACCUAGUCUUCGAUGGAUAGGGGUUCUGAGAGGAAGGUCCCCCACAUUGGAACUGAGACACGGUCCAAACUCCUACGGGAGGCAGCAGUGAGGAAUAUUGGUCAAUGGACGAGAGUCUGAACCAGCCAAGUAGCGUGAAGGAUGAAGGUUCUAUGGAUUGUAAACUUCUUUUAUACGGGAAUAAACGAAUCCACGUGUGGAUUUUUGCAUGUACCGUAUGAAUAAGGAUCGGCUAACUCCGUGCCAGCAGCCGCGGUAAUACGGAGGAUCCGAGCGUUAUCCGGAUUUAUUGGGUUUAGAGGGAGCGUAGAUGGGUUGUUAAGUCAGUUGUGAAAGUUUGCGGCUCAACCGUAAAAUUGCAAUUGAUACUGGCAGUCUUGAGUACAGUUGAGGUAGGCGGAAUUCGUGGUGUAGCGGUGAAAUGCUUAGAUAUCACGAAGAACUCCGAUUGCGAAGGCAGCUUACUAACCUGUAACUGACAUUGAUGCUCGAAAGUGUGGGUAUCAAACAGGAUUAGAUACCCUGGUAGUCCACACGGUAAACGAUGAAUACUCGCUGUAGGCGAUAUACAGUCUGCGGCCAAGCGAAAGCAUUAAGUAUUCCACCUGGGGAGUACGCCGGCAACGGUGAAACUCAAAGGAAUUGACGGGGGCCCGCACAAGCGGAGGAACAUGUGGUUUAAUUCGAUGAUACGCGAGGAACCUUACCCGGGCUUAAAUUGCAACCGAAUAUGGCGGAAACGCUAUAGCUAGCAAUAGCGGUUGUGAAGGUGCUGCAUGGUUGUCGUCAGCUCGUGCCGUGAGGUGUCGGCUUAAGUGCCAUAACGAGCGCAACCCUUGCCGAUAGUUACUAACAGGUCAUGCUGAGGACUCUGUCGGGACUGCCAUCGUAAGAUGUGAGGAAGGUGGGGAUGACGUCAAAUCAGCACGGCCCUUACGUCCGGGGCUACACACGUGUUACAAUGGGGGGUACAGAGGGCUGCUACCACGCAAGUGGAUGCCAAUCCCAAAAACCUCUCUCAGUUCGGAUUGAAGUCUGCAACCCGACUUCAUGAAGCUGGAUUCGCUAGUAAUCGCGCAUCAGCCACGGCGCGGUGAAUACGUUCCCGGGCCUUGUACACACCGCCCGUCAAGCCAUGGGAGCCGGGGGUACCUGAAGUGCGUAACCGCAAGGAGCGCCCUAGGGUAAAACUGGUGACUGGGGCUAAGUCGUA
rnacentral:rRNA from 1 species